rnacentral:rRNA from 1 species
UUGUUGGUAAGGUAAAAGCUUACCAAGGCUUCGAUCAGUAGCUGGUCUGAGAGGACGACCAGCCACACUGGGACUGAGACACGGCCCAGACUCCUACGGGAGGCAGCAGUGGGGAAUUUUGGACAAUGGGGGCAACCCUGAUCCAGCCAUGCCGCGUGAGUGAAGAAGGCCUUCGGGUUGUAAAGCUCUUUCAGUCGGAACGAAACGGUUACGGUUAAUACCCGUGACUACUGACGGUACCGGAAGAAGAAGCACCGGCUAACUACGUGCCAGCAGCCGCGGUAAUACGUAGGGUGCGAGCGUUAAUCGGAAUUACUGGGCGUAAAGCGUGCGCAGGUGGUUUUGUAAGUCAGAUGUGAAAGCCCCGGGCUCAACCUGGGAACUGCGUUUGAAACUACAAGACUAGAGUGUGGCAGAGGGGGGUGGAAUUCCGCGUGUAGCAGUGAAAUGCGUAGAGAUGUGGAGGAACACCGAUGGCGAAGGCAGCCCCCUGGGUCAACACUGACGCUCAGGCACGAAAGCAUGGGGAGCAAACAGGAUUAGAUACCCUGGUAGUCCAUGCCCUAAACGAUGUCAACUAGUUGUCGGGCCUUUACGGGCUUGGUAACGUAGCUAACGCGUGAAGUUGACCGCCUGGGGAGUACGACCGCAAGAUUAAAACUCAAAUGAAUUGACGGGGACCCGCACAAGCGGUGGAUUAUGUGGAUUAAUUCGAUGCAACGCGAAAAACCUUACCUACCCUUGACAUGUAUCGAAGCCCGCAGAAAAGCGGGGGUGCCCGAAAGGGAACGAUAACACAGGUGCUGCAUGGCUGUCGUCAGCUCGUGUCGUGAGAUGUUGGGUUAAGUCCCGCAACGAGCGCAACCCUUGUCAUUAAUUGCCAUCAUUUAGUUGGGCACUUUAAUGAGACUGCCGG